AGAAAGUAUCUUCGGAUAUGAGUAGAGCGGCGGACGGGUGAGUAACGCGUAGGAAUCUACCUAGUAGAAGGGGAUAGCCCGAGGAAACUCGGAUUAAUACCGUAUACCUCCUUCGGGAGAAAGAAGGCCUCUCUUUGAAGCUUUCGCUACUAGAUGAGCCUGCGUAAGAUUAGCUUGUUGGUGAGGUAAAGGCUCACCAAGGCUACGAUCUUUAGCGGGUCUGAGAGGACGAUCCGCCACAUUGGGACUGAGACACGGCCCAGACUCCUACGGGAGGCAGCAGUGGGGAAUAUUGGACAAUGGGCGCAAGCCUGAUCCAGCCAUACCGCGUGUGUGAAGAAGGCCCUAGGGUUGUAAAGCACUUUAAGUUGGGAAGAAAAGUUAUUGGCUAAUACCCAAUGACCGUGACAUUACCAUCAGAAUAAGGACCGGCUAAUUCCGUGCCAGCAGCCGCGGUAAUACGGAAGGUCCAAGCGUUAAUCGGAAUUACUGGGCGUAAAGCGCGCGUAGGUGGUUUAUUAAGUUGGAUGUGAAAUCCCCGGGCUCAACCUGGGAACUGCAUCCAAAACUGAUUCACUAGAGUACGAUAGAGGGAGGUAGAAUUCACAGUGUAGCGGUGGAAUGCGUAGAUAUUGUGAAGAAUACCAAUGGCGAAGGCAGCCUCCUGGAUCUGUACUGACACUGAGGUGCGAAAGCGUGGGUAGCGAACAGGAUUAGAUACCCUGGUAGUCCACGCCGUAAACGAUGUCAACUAGCUGUUGGAAAGCAUUGCUUUUCAGUGGCGCAGCUAACGUAGUAAGUUGACCGCCUGGGGAGUACGGCCGCAAGGUUAAAACUC
rnacentral:rRNA from 1 species